AGAUGCCCGGAGCGGGCACCGGCACUGAGGGAAGGUGUGAGCUGCCGCCGAGGGUCCCAGGCGGAACGCGGGAAGGGAGCAGGUUUAUUUAACAAUGUGAAGUAGUCCUGGGAAGUUGUACUUUGAGCAAGGUCCGCAAGCAGUAUUCCUGCACUUCUCCAGUCAUGCCCCAGCGCCAGGUCGGAAGCUGUCCACAUGCGGGGAUGGAGCCUGGCGUCCUGGGCCCACAAGGACAGGGCCCUGAAUAUGGACUUAGCAGAACAAAGUUGGGAAGGCAACUGCACUCACCCCUUGUGCCUCCUGUGGUACCUGCCCUUCACGGUUCCUGGUGGGGACACUCAGGCACCAGCUUCAUGGCUGGACUCAGAUGACACAACGCCAGGAAAAAAAGUAAAAGCCCCAUUACCCUUUCCAAUGCCUAGAUAAAAUAGAUGUCUAAUAAAAACCUGCUAAUAAUCA
rnacentral:lncRNA from 10 species